AUAUCUGAGAGUAACUGUUCAGGUAUUGACGGUAUUUAACCAGAAAGCCACGGCUAACUACGUGCCAGCAGCCGCGGUAAUACGUAGGUGGCAAGCGUUGUCCGGAUUUAUUGGGCGUAAAGCGAGCGCAGGCGGUUUUUUAAGUCUGAUGUGAAAGCUUUCGGCUCAACCGAAGAAGUGCAUCGGAAACUGGGAAACUUGAGUGCAGAAGAGGACAGUGGAACUCCAUGUGUAGCGGUGAAAUGCGUAGAUAUAUGGAAGAACACCAGUGGCGAAGGCGGCUGUCUGGUCUGUAACUGACGCUGAGGCUCGAAAGUAUGGGUAGCAAACAGGAUUAGAUACCCUGGUAGUCCAUACCGUAAACGAUGAAUGCUAAGUGUUGGAGGGUUUCCGCCCUUCAGUGCUGCAGCUAACGCAUUAAGCAUUCCGCCUGGGGAGUACGGCCGCAAGGCUGAAACUCAAAGGAAUUGACGGGGGCCCGCACAAGCGGUGGAGCAUGUGGUUUAAUUCGAAGCUACGCGAAGAACCUUACCAGGUCUUGACAUACUAUGCAAAUCUAAGAGAUUAGACGUUCCCUUCGGGGACAUGGAUACAGGUGGUGCAUGGUUGUCGUCAGCUCGUGUCGUGAGAUGUUGGGUUAAGUCCCGCAACGAGCGCAACCCUUAUUAUCAGUUGCCAGCAUUAAGUUGGGCACUCUGGUGAGACUGCCGGUGACAAACCGGAGGAAGGUGGGGAUGACGUCAAAUCAUCAUGCCCCUUAUGACCUGGGCUACACACGUGCUACAAUGGAUGGUACAACGAGUUGCGAACUCGCGAGAGUAAGCUAAUCUCUUAAAGCCAUUCUCAGUUCGGAUUGUAGGCUGCAACUCGCCUACAUGAAGUCGGAAUCGCUAGUAAUCGCGGAUCAGCAUGCCGCGGUGAAUACGUUCCCGGGCCUUGUACACACCGCCCGUCACACCAUGAGAGUUUGUAACACCCAAAGUCGGUGGGGUAACCUUUUAGGAACCAGCCGCUUAAAG
rnacentral:rRNA from 2 species